rnacentral:pre_miRNA from 1 species
CAGUUUGAGCAGGUCACGUGUGGUUCAGCAUGAUAGUGAAAUAUGUUGCAUCACGUGUGACCCUACACCGC